AGAAAUAGUUAAGCCCCUCCUCAACAAUUACCGCCACAUUUGAAUACGACAUUGUUAUUGGUGUAAUUUUUGAAGCCACAAUCACACUUGUAAAGCGAAUUGGCCGAAUUGGGUAAUCUGUCAUCUUGCCUAUUGCGUUUCUGCCGGUUUUUACGUUUUUACAUCUUUACUUGCGUCAAUUUGCCAUUAAUCUCCUUUAUUCACACAAAAUAGUCUUUAUAAAGACUCGUCGGUGUAUUCUAAAGAUAGUCAGGGUUAUAUUAUUCGCGAUCAAGAAAAGUUGUACGCAAACAUGAAUGUCGCCGGUGCUGCUUUCUCUCCACCGAAAAAACGUUCUGCCAAGCACUUUUCAGUUGAAGACAAAACUGGCAUUUUAAAUAUCUUCAAGAAAUUGGAAGAACGCAAUUCGCCAUGCUCAAAGUGAAGAGGAAAAAAUGUGGCAAAUUGAUAUUUUAAUGGACAUCGUAGUGGAGCCAUUAGUAAUUCAUGUGGGAGAUGACUCGACGUCAACGGAGUCCGAAUCCGAGUGAAGCGAUACAGGAUGUAAAUUGUUAUGUACCUUUGUUUAUAUUCAAGUGCACUUGUAAUUUCAAAACUUUGUGCUGCUGUAAUAAUACUUUUUUGUACUUUUCUCAAUAUAAACAGUGUUUUUA